rnacentral:rRNA from 1 species
UACGGAGGUGGCAAGCGUUACUCGGAUUUACUGGGCGUAAAGGGCACGUAGGCGGCCCAAUAAGCUCUGCCUCAAAUCCCCUCGCUCAACGAGGGAGUGUGGUAGAGGACUGCUGGGCUUGAGGGCUGGAGAGGUGAGCGGAAUUCCCGGUGUAAGGGUGAAAUCUGUAGAGAUCGGGAGGAACACCAGUGGCGAAAGCGGCUCACUGGCCAGCUUCUGACGCUGAGGUGCGAAAGCUAGGGGAGCAAACAGG